rnacentral:rRNA from 1 species
UUCCGGUUGAUCCCGCCGGACCCCACUGCUAUCGAGAUGGGACUAAGGUAUGCUAGUCGAACGACCAGAACUAUGUCUGGGAGUGGCACACUGCUCAGUAACACGUAGCUAACCUACCCUUAGGACGUGGAUACCCCCGAGAAAUUGGGGUUAAUCCGCGAUAGAUGUAAUGUCCUGGAAUGGUAUUACGUCUAAAGGUAUUUCAUACAUGUUUGAAAUAUGCCUAAGGAUGGGGCUGCGGCCGAUCAGGCUGUUGGUGAGGUAAUGGCUCACCAAACCUUUGACCGGUACGGGCCAUGAGAGUGGUAGCCCGGAGAUGGACACUGAGACAAGGGUCCAGGCCCUAAGGGGCGCAGCAACCGCGAAACCUCCACAAUGCACUCACGUGCGAUGGGGCUAUCUCGAGUGCCACCUGAUGAAGGUGGCUUUUCCUUGGUCUAAAAAGCCUCGGGAAUAAGAGGGGGGCAAGACUGGUGUCAGCCGCCGCGGUAACACCAGCCCCUCGAGUGGUGGGGAUGAUUAUUUGGCCUAAAGCGUCCGUAGCCGGCCGGGUAAGUCUCCCGUUAAAUCCAACGUCUCAAGCGUUGGACUGCGGGAGAUACUGCCUGGCUAGAGAGUGGGAGAGGUCAGCGGUAUUCUGGGGGUAGGGGCGAAAUCCUUUGAUCCCCGGAGGACCACCAGUGGCGAAGGCUGCUGACUAGAACACGUCUGACGGUCAGGGACGAAAGCUGGGGUAGCGAACCGGAUUAGAUACCCGGGUAGUCCCAGCCGUAAACGAUGCAUGCUAGGUGUUGGGUUGGCCACGAGCCACCCCAGUGCCGCAGGGAAGCCGUUAAGCAUGCCGCCUGGGAAGUACGAUCGCAAGAUUGAAACUUAAAGGAAUUGGCGGGGGAGCACCACCAGGCGUGAAGCCUGCGGUUUAAUUGGAUUCAACGCCGGG